GACCUAUAGUUAGUGCAAGUUGAGCAAUAUUUAGUGAAAGAUGGCCUAUAGUUAGUGCAAGAUGAUGUAUAGUUAGUGCAAGAUGAGCUAUAGAUAGUGCAAGAUGACCUAUUGUUGGUGCAAGAUGACCUAUAGAUAGUGUGCAAGAUGAACUAUAGUUUGUGCAAGAUGAACUAUAGUUAGUGCAAGAUGACCUAUAGAUAGUGCAAGAUGAUCUAUAGUUAGUGCAAGAUGACCUAUAGUGUGUGCCAGUUAAGCAAUAUUAAGUGAAAGAUUACCUAUAGUUAGUGCAAGAUGACCUAUUGUUAGUUCAAGAUGACCUAUAGAUAGUACAAGAUGACCCAUAGAUAGUGCAUGAGGACCUAUAGUUAGUGCAAGAUUACCUAUAGGUAGUGCAAUAAAUGGCUUAGUAUCACAGACACACUUAAUUCAAUUUCAAUAUCGAGUUUUUCUUCAUCUUUGUGAUCAGAGACUGACCAUCUUGCUCCAUUGGUUGUUCAUUAUAGCUUUUUUCAGUUUCGUGUCUGACUCCACCCUGAGUUUCAGGAGGUAUUUUAGAAUAUUCUUAUAGCUGACAUUUGAGAAUGUUCAUGUAAAUGUAACUGCAUGCUACAUGUAGCAUGGGUUCAAAAAUUGAAAGUCAAUUGUUGGAGUCUAAAUCAGGGAUUAGCAUGAGAAUUGAUUUUGGAAGAUUAUAAACUGGUCAACAUACUAUUCUUACAAGUAAUUAUGAUUAUUAUCACAUAUGUAAAACUUGUUGCUAAAAUUAGUUUAGCAACCAUGUGAAAAUUAAAUUAAUAAUCCUAUAUUAAGAGCAUAGACAGAGGAAAUAGUGGUUUAUCUAUAAUUAGGGUAACUUGCAAGUUAAAAUUGACGUAUUUAAAGCAAAGAUUCUAUAAGGGUGAAAUGUCAAGCGGUUUGCUAAUUAAUAUUAUAACAUUGACUUAAUUUAGUUGUCUUUGAUCGUUUGUGCAAUCUGAAUGACAGAAUUUAGGUGUAAGACAUAAAUCACUAUUUGGAAAGCCUGCAGUUUGGUUUUAACAGGAAUAUCAGUGUAACAUCUUGUGGAUAUUAUUAUUCAUAUUUGUAUGCCCCCCUUCGAAGAAGAGGAAGAGGGGGUAUAUUGUUUUGCUCAUGUCGGUCUGUAUGUCUGUCCGUCCACCAGAUGGUUUCCGGAUGAUAACUCAAGAACGCUUAGGCCUAGGAUCAUGAAACUUCAUAGGUACAUUGAUCAUGACUCGCAGAUGACCCCUAUUGAUUUUCAGGUCACUAGGUCAAAGGUCAAGGUCACGGUGACCCGAAAUAGUAAAAUGGUUUCCGGAUGAUAACUCAAGAACGCUUAUGCCUAGGAUCAUGAAACUUCAUAGGUACAUUGAUCAUGACUGGCAGAUGACCCCUAUUGAUUUUCAGGUCACUAGGUCAAAGGUCAAGGUCACGGUGACCCGAAAUAGUAAAAUGGUUUCCGGAUGAUAACUCAAGAACGCUUAUGCCUAGGAUCAUUAAACUUCAUAGGUACAUUGAUCAUGACUGGCAGCUGACCCCUAUUGAUUUUCCGGUCACUAGGUCAAAGGUCAAGGUCAAGGUGACCCGAAAUAGUAAAAUGGUUUCCGGAUGAUAACUCAAGAACGCUUAUGCCUAGGAUCAUGAAACUUCAUAGAUACAUUGAUCAUGACUUGCAGAUGACCCCUAUUGAUUUUGAGGUCACCAGGUCAAAGGUCAAGGUCACGGUGACCCGAAAUAGUAAAAUGGUUUCCGGAUGAUAACUCAAGAACGCUUAUGCCUAGGAUCAUGAAACUUCAUAGGUUCAUUGAUCAUGACUCGCAGAUGACCCCUAUUGACUUUCAGGUCACUAGGUCAAAGGACAUGGUCACGGUGACUUGACACAGUAAAAUGGUUUCCGUAUGAUAACACAAGAAAGCUUACGCCUAGGAUCAUGAAACUUCAUAGGCACAUUGAUCAUGACUCGCAGAUGACCCCUAUUGAUUUUCAGGUCACUAGGUCAAAGGUCAAGGUCACAGUGCCAAAAAACGUAUUCACACAAUGGCUGCCACUACAACUAACAGUCCAUAUGGGGGGCAUGCAUGUUUUACAAACAGCCCUUGUCAUUAAUGUGCCAGGGACAACAUUUUUGGAAAAAAAGAUAAAUUUUUGUAUUAUUUGAUAUGAAAGGUUGCUUUUUACCAUAUAUCUCAAGAAUAUUCUUGUGUUAUGCAUAUGACUGUGAUAUUUUAGAACAUGGUAAAUGUUCAGUUUAACUGUUUCCUCACAAAUAUCAUAACUAAAAUGAAAAUAAGCCAA